rnacentral:lncRNA from 1 species
CACUGGCUAAAAUGUUUAAGUGCUGAUCUUUAAAAUGUUUGUAAUGCGCUUUGUCUGUGCUUCCGAGGGUACCUCAAGGUUUCGUCCUUUCUACAACAGUGGCACGACCAUAAACAGACCUUGCAAUGUUGUGUUUAUGUUGAAACUCAGUGAAGACUUAAUUCGAUGAUAGCUCUCUUAGUUUGCAAUUAUAUAUGUAUGUGCAGCUUGAAAGGGGCAUUUUCUUUUAAAGAGCCACAAAGUAAAGGGUAUUUCUCCAAAAUAGUUCUUGGAAGUGACUAACAAUUAAAUUUAGGUUAAUGAGCAAUACUUCUCUGUGUAGUCCAGCCUAUCUUAACAAUUAGGAAUAGAGCUUACAUACAGCUUCAAAAUAGGAAAAAGCAACACACUUAGCGAUGAUAACUGUGGAUCUCACUGACAAAUUUUCCUAACUUCUAACCAUUCAUUCAUGGCUGUUUCAAAGGUCAUAAUUUGGAUGACUUUUGUUUUCUGGAGUAUCAGCACAUGCCAAAGUGCUGACUAUCCCCCAUUUCUGUAAACUGAAAAGUAAUGUAUUCUGGAUGUAAUGUUUUAAUUUGAUCAUUCUGCAAGAUUUUUCAUUUGCUUUUAAGUGUAAUUAGUUUCUCAAAAAUUAGAGCAAAAUAAAAGUGGUAAUGGAUUUAAGUUUAUGCUUCAAUUACACAAACUGGUUGAAAGACUGAAAACUUGAGCAGUAAACUUCCCAUGGCCCAGAAGAUAAAGGAGUGAAGUUUGAAGUCACUUGAAGAUUCAAGAGAAGAUUAGGCAAAGGUUAGGACUAUGAAGGUAGCAAUGGCUGGCAAAUCAAAGAAGCAGCAUAUUUUUUUUUUCCUUUCAGUUGCUCCCAGCCAUAGAGGAUGUUAGUGUAGUACAGAUGCUUUUAUUUGAUAAUGUUUCUCAAAUUCUCCCAUUUCUCUCAGCCCACACAAAACAGAAGGUUAAGUCACGUGCUACAUUCUGGUUUUAAUUGUGAACUUCAUGGGUGAGAAUACUUUGCACAUUAGCAACACUACAAGCAGCUAGGCAGAAUUCUCCCAACUCAUUUCCAAACAUUUCACUUGGCUAUAUCGAUAGAUAUUUGUUUCUCUCCCUGCUGUGUUUUGAAUUAUAAACCCAGUUCAUCUCGUGUAUCCACUUGUAUCUUGACUCCAUCAUUUCUUCAUCUUGAUUUUCCUUUAACACAGUCUUCACAUUUUUAUCAGUAGAGUCUAGACUUAAGGUAGCUUACCAGUUUAGGAACUUUAGCAUCCUGAUAAUGGUCUCAUUUAAUUCUAUGCAUUUUUAUCUGGAUGUUGAUAACAAAUAAAAAUUGCAUCUGCAU